GGGUUGUGAGGUUAAGCGACUAAGCGUACACGGUGGAUGCCCUGGCAGUCAGAGGCGAUGAAGGACGUGCUAAUCUGCGAAAAGCGUCGGUAAGGUGAUAUGAACCGUUAUAACCGGCGAUGUCCGAAUGGGGAAACCCAGUGCAAUUCGUUGCACUAUCGUUAACUGAAUACAUAGGUUAACGAGGCGAACCGGGGGAACUGAAACAUCUAAGUACCCCGAGGAAAAGAAAUCAACCGAGAUUCCCCCAGUAGCGGCGAGCGAACGGGGAGCAGCCCAGAGUCUGAAUCAGCUUGUGUGUUAGUGGAACGGUCUGGAAAGUCCGACGGUACAGGGUGAUAGUCCCGUACACCAAAAUGCACAGGCUGUGAACUCGAAGAGUAGGGCGGGACACGUGGUAUCCUGUCUGAAUAUGGGGGGACCAUCCUCCAAGGCUAAAUACUCCUGACUGACCGAUAGUGAACCAGUACCGUGAGGGAAAGGCGAAAAGAACCCCGGCGAGGGGAGUGAAAAAGAACCUGAAACCGUGUACGUACAAGCAGUGGGAGCACCUUCGGGUGUGACUGCGUACCUUUUGUAUAAUGGGUCAGCGACUUAUAUUCUGUAGCAAGGUUAACCGUAUAGGGGAGCCGCAGGGAAACCGAGUCUUAACUGGGCGUUAAGUUGCAGGGUAUAGACCCGAAACCCGGUGAUCUAGCCAUGGGCAGGUUGAAGGUUGGGUAACACUAACUGGAGGACCGAACCGACUAAUGUUGAAAAAUUAGCGGAUGACUUGUGGCUGGGGGUGAAAGGCCAAUCAAACCGGGAGAUAGCUGGUUCUCCCCGAAAGCUAUUUAGGUAGCGCCUCGUGAACUCAUCUUCGGGGGUAGAGCACUGUUUCGGCUAGGGGGUCAUCCCGACUUACCAACCCGAUGCAAACUACGAAUACCGAAGAAUGUUAUCACGGGAGACACACGGCGGGUGCUAACGUCCGUCGUGAAGAGGGAAACAACCCAGACCGCCAGCUAAGGUCCCAAAGUCAUGGUUAAGUGGGAAACGAUGUGGGAAGGCACAGACAGCCAGGAUGUUGGCUUAGAAGCAGCCAUCAUUUAAAGAAAGCGUAAUAGCUCACUGGUCGAGUCGGCCUGCGCGGAAGAUGUAACGGGGCUAAACCAUGCACCGAAGCUGCGGCAGCGACACUAUGUGUUGUUGGGUAGGGGAGCGUUCUGUAAGCCUGCGAAGGUGACCUGUGAGGGUUGCUGGAGGUAUCAGAAGUGCGAAUGCUGACAUAAGUAACGAUAAAGCGGGUGAAAAGCCCGCUCGCCGGAAGACCAAGGGUUCCUGUCCAACGUUAAUCGGGGCAGGGUGAGUCGACCCCUAAGGCGAGGCCGAAAGGCGUAGUCGAUGGGAAACAGGUUAAUAUUCCUGUACUUGGUGUUACUGCGAAGGGGGGACGGAGAAGGCUAUGUUAGCCGGGCGACGGUUGUCCCGGUUUAAGCAUGUAGGCUGGUUAUCCAGGCAAAUCCGGAUAAUCAAGGCUGAGGUGUGAUGACGAGGCACUACGGUGCUGAAGUAACAAAUGCCCUGCUUCCAGGAAAAGCCUCUAAGCAUCAGGUAACAUCAAAUCGUACCCCAAACCGACACAGGUGGUCAGGUAGAGAAUACCAAGGCGCUUGAGAGAACUCGGGUGAAGGAACUAGGCAAAAUGGUGCCGUAACUUCGGGAGAAGGCACGCUGGUGUGUAGGUGAAGUCCCUGCGGAUGGAGCUGAGACCAGUCGAAGAUACCAGCUGGCUGCAACUGUUUAUUAAAAACACAGCACUGUGCAAACACGAAAGUGGACGUAUACGGUGUGACGCCUGCCCGGUGCCGGAAGGUUAAUUGAUGGGGUUAUCCGUAAGGAGAAGCUCUUGAUCGAAGCCCCGGUAAACGGCGGCCGUAACUAUAACGGUCCUAAGGUAGCGAAAUUCCUUGUCGGGUAAGUUCCGACCUGCACGAAUGGCGUAAUGAUGGCCAGGCUGUCUCCACCCGAGACUCAGUGAAAUUGAACUCGCUGUGAAGAUGCAGUGUACCCGCGGCAAGACGGAAAGACCCCGUGAACCUUUACUAUAGCUUGACACUGAACAUUGAGCCUUGAUGUGUAGGAUAGGUGGGAGGCUUUGAAGCGUGGACGCCAGUCUGCGUGGAGCCAACCUUGAA
rnacentral:rRNA from 1 species